rnacentral:rRNA from 1 species
CCUACGGGACGCAGCAGUAGGGAAUUUUCGUCAAUGGGCGCAAGCCUGAACGAGCAAUGCCGCGUGAACGAGGAAGGUCUUCGGAUCGUAAAGUUCUGUUGAAGGGGAAAAAGAGCGGAGAGAGGAAAUGCUUUCUGAUUGAUAUUACCCUUCGAGGAAGUCACGGCUAACUACGUGCCAGCAGCCGCGGUAAUACGUAGGUGGCGAGCGUUAUCCGGAAUGAUUGGGCGUAAAGGGUGCGUAGGCGGCCUGCUAAGUCUGGAGUGAAAGGUACCGGCUCAACCGGAGUAGGGCAUUGGAAACUG